CCAUCAACUGAUUAGAGGACGAAAAAGAAAUUCAAAGAAAUGAUGAUGGAAACGCGCGUGUCAACCACAAUAAAAAGAUACAAUAUAAUAAUAAUCUGUGUCGUGGGAGAUGAUCUCACCUCCUGUCUUUUUAUUGUAAAGACGAGAUGAAUAUAUUCCUCUGCGCGAUUGGUAUGUACUCGACAUAAAAUACAUACCCAUAGUACGUACAUCUAGAGUCGUACGCUUCUGGGAGGCAGUUUGUUUACAUUGUAAACGUAUACAGAAGAAUCAAAAGAUGUACAAAUCGAAGAAGUUAAAAGGGCUUGCUUUGUGUGCAGGACGAGCAAAGAAAUCGUAUACUGGAUGACGUUGCGUUGGGAACAUUUGCGAGUUUGCAUGCUUACUCGAGCCAAGAAUUCAGGAGUUUGCCCAACUUAUUUUUACCACCUUUAUCCCAGUCUACUGCUUCGGAUUUGACGUACGGCAGAUCAUUCAAAGAGAAUUUGGACCAGAAAUCAAAUAUUCGGGAGAUUGGCAAUCAACUGUUACAGAUGACAAAUUUACACCGUGUAAACGAAGUAAAAAAAAAUGAAGAGAAUAAAAAGAGAAAAGGAAGAAGAUUCGAAAAAAGAGAUGAAACAUAUCUUACGCUUCUUGUCUGAUCUGGAGGUUGAGGAGGAUUCUGAUCGGCGAUGGCUAGGUAAACCCAGUUUAGAAGAUGUGGAGGGUAGUGAGAUUGUUGGGAUGUAACCUGGGACUGAGUACCGAUAUUUCCUAGGCCAAGGCCGACGCCAACAGCACCGACGCCGUUCGCCUCCUGCAAUUGUGGAUGCUGCAAGUGUUGUAAGGGUGGUCGGGGGUGGCAUGUGGCCAUUUUUCUUCAGCCGAUCAAGACCGAGGUGAUCGGCACCGCUGACUGAUUAAAUUCAAAUCCUUGUAUUCACUUUUGAGCAUUUCCUCUGCAGACCAUGUGAAAAUGCACCAAAGAUGAAGGAGGAUGUUUUUCCGGGUCGUUUUGAGUUAUUAUAAAAAUUAAAAUUCGAACAAAAAAGUGCACCAAAAAUCAAAAUUUUAAUUUGACGAUCCACACCACACAACUCACUACCCAAAGAACGCGCACCCGACAGGGCCGGGAGCGGAAUGAUCGCGUUGCUCUCAGAAACACGCAGCUUGUUCACACAUAUUCACGCGUUGAACUCACACGUGGAUACCAUACAUCGUCGGCAAUUCGUGCGUGCCCUAUAUGUUCUUAUUACUCUACACAAAAUGCUGCAGUAAAGCAUCGUCAACGAAAGUUACAAGCUACGUUUGAACCGCCAUAAGAAACCGCACUUUGACCCCCACAUCUCGGGUCUUUGCCAAGUCCCUAUUGCAAGGCAAUGUACUCCAAAAAGUCCAACCACUUGCCAGAUUCCACUGCAACUCAAUUGUAAGUCAGGCCGCGCUGACCCAUUUUUAGCAGAUUCAAUUGCAACGUGAUUCGUAAAAAAGGAAUACCAUCCGAUAACGCAAACUAUAAUAAAUAAUUCGCAGAUUGAAUGCAAUGAAGAGAAG
rnacentral:misc_RNA from 1 species